rnacentral:lncRNA from 1 species
CACACACACACACACACACAAAUCGAGUAGGGCACAGUGCCAAUGGUAUAUGUUUCAGUAUCCCAUGAGUAUCUACUGUAUGUGUAGAAAAGGCUGUCCUGCUCCCCUCCUCUCUACCUAACUUUCCCUCACAGUCCCUUUAGUGCCCCCACAGUACCGUUAGGGCGAUAUCUCACAAUCUCAGCUGUCCAUCAAAACCCUUUGGCUUCAGCGUGCCUAAAUGCUCAUCUGGACUCUAACCCCUCCAACCCCAGGUCAGAGUGUUUUUAGUUGUCGAGUGAACAAGACGCAAGUUUGGGCUGGCGAUUAAAGGCACCCGCAAACUAUGUUCGAUUUGCUACUAGCAGAUCUCAGCUAGGCGCAGCGACCGUCUGUUCUCUCAUACUCCCUAAAGACCUUUGCUUGAAAAAACUAUAUUACUAAAUCAAGUUCUUGCUGAGGAGAUUUUAGUUGCACAAUUUUGCAGUAUUUCUCAAGUAAAAAAAUGUGCGUGAAAACACUCCCAAGACAUUUCCACUUCACAAUAACAGCACUUACAGUUGACCAGGGCAGCUCUAGCAGGGCAGACAUUUUACGAACUGACUUGUUGGAAAGGUGGCAUCCAAUGACAGUGCCACGAUGAAAGUCACUGAGCUCUUCAGUAAGGCCAUUCUACUGCCAAUGUUUGUCUAUGGAGAUUGAAUGGCUGUGUGUUCGAAUGGGGUGAAAUAGCCAAAUCCACUAUUUGAAAUGGUGUCCCACAUACUUUUGUAUAUAUAGUGUAUGCGCAAACUUUAUCAACUGGGAAGCAUACGGAAAGCUAAAGCUUAAAUUGACUGUGUUUACUCUGAAGAUUCUGCAUGCAUCUAAGAAAGGUCGACUUUGACCCAAGAGAACAAUCCAGACUAAGAAUUUGCAAAAGAUUGAACCCCUGGUCUAUGAUUAGUAGAUGUGGGAGAGGUGAGCGUGUAUCAGAUCCCCCUGCUGUUCUUCACCCCAUGGUGCAGUCUGCUGACCAUCGCUGAGGCCAGGAAGAAGUCCGCCAGCCGAAGUAAAAGUCAAGUUCAUCACCAUGCAAUGCUCUAUUGACCGAGGUGCCAUGUCGUCUCCCAUCUACUUCAUAGUGGCCUCAGCUGGACUCCACCGCAUAACCUCUUGGUCUAGCCAGAUUAAUCAAGAGCUUCAAUCCGGGCCGGCUUUGGUUUCCAGGAGUGCGACAGGAGUCCAUGUGGAGUGAGCAUGUAGAAAGAUCCGUUCCAAAACUUCUCUCAUGUUGCUGGUAUACUGGAUGACAAAUGGACAAGACAUAAUGGGUGGUAAAGGUGGUGGCGGCUCAGGUGAGACAUUGAAAUUGGGACAUUAUCAUGGGCCAUCCACUUCGAACUAUGAAGCUAUCUGAAGAAGACAAUGAAGAGACGCCAGAAGAUUGAGUGCCGGGGACGGAAGGGGUUGGUCAACUGUGCCCGUAAAUUAUUUUGAUUGUCUAAAAAUGUUUAUUUGGGUUAUCAAGUUGAUUGUAGAGGUCUAUACAAUGCUACAUUUACAGUAAUUUAGAUUAAGAAUGCAUUACGAUACACUUUGAAGUUUGUGGAAAUGUGAAAUUAAUGUAGGAGAAAAUAACUCAUUAGACCUGGUAAAAGAUAAUCAACAACAAAAAAUACAUGCAUUUUCACAUUUCUUGUGUGCCAUCAUUUUGAAAUGCAAGAGAAAGGCCAUUUAUAUGACUUAGGACUCAAGACGCAAUUUACAUUUUGGCCACUAGAUGGCAGCAGUGUAUGUGAAAAGUCUUAGACUGAUCCAAUGAACCAUUGCAUUACUGUUCAAAAUGUUGUCAAGUCUGCCCAAAUGUGCCGAAUUGGUCAAUUGAUACAUUUAAGUACAUAACUACAGAGAACAUACAAUUUGUAUUACCAUAUCAUUUUUGAAAGUUUACACACUCCCAGGAAUGUCAUAAAUGAUGGAUAAUUAACUUCCCUACAGAAAAGACACUAACCUCCACACAUCUAGAUGGGGGGGCAGACAGCAGGGGUUCAAAUUAUAGAAACCAGUUCCUACAUUUGAA